rnacentral:rRNA from 1 species
GAUGAACGCUGGCGGCGUGCCUAAUAUAUGCAAGUCGAACGCUGAAGGAGGAGCUUGCUCUUCUGGAUGAGUUGCGAACGGGUGAGUAACGCGUAGGUAACCUGCCUGGUAGCGGGGGAUAACUCUUGGAAACGAUAGCUAAUACCGCAUGACACCCGUUAUUGCAUGAUAACUGUUUAAAAGGGGCAACUGCUCCACAACCAGAUGGACCUGCGUUGUAUUCGCUAGUUGGUGAGGUAACGGCUCACCAAGGCGACGAUACAUAGCCGACCUGAGAGGGGGAUCGGCCACACUGGGACUGAGACACGGCCCAGACUCCUACGGGAGGCAGCAGUAGGGAAUCUUCGGCAAUGGACGGAAGUCUGACCGAGCAACGCCGCGUGAGUGAAGAAGGUUUUCGGAUCGUAAAGCUCUGUUGUAAGAGAAGAACGAGUGUGAGAGUGGAAAGUUCACACUGUGACGGUAUCUUACCAGAAAGGGACGGCUAACUACGUG